UCUUGGAUUCGAUCUGGUGAUCGAUCAUCCUUAAUAUUGAAACUUGCAUCCGAACGUGUGGGAAGUAUAAAACUGAAAACAUUCAAAUGAGUCGAAUAAAAACCGAUGAGUACGCACCAAGAUCAUUCGACACUUAAGUUGAACGAAGGAAAAUUCUUUCCUUUUAAAAUUACCGAUUAAGCGCCUAUCAGGUGAGCGAUUAGGCGGAACGGUGCAGGCUCGUUGAGAAAGAUCGCGAGAUUAUUAAAUCCCAAAAAGACAAGAGUAUCGACGCUCCACGAGAGCCAAGGGAAGGAAAAAAAGAAAAAUUGUUAAAAAAACUACGACAAAUUAUAGGGAAGCGUCUCAUUACGAGUCAUUAACGAGUUUCAUGGUCCUUAGACCGAGUCAAACAGCCAUUCAUCAAUCGGAGAUCGCGCGCUUUACGAGCGCAAAAGUUGUGCGUUGAUGCCAAAGCGUGUUGGAGUGGAACAUACUCGUGACACGAGGUUGAGACACUUGCUGUGCGUCUCGGUAGCGAGGAUUGACAUUGGAGCGAUUAAAAAAUGCUGAAGAAAAAUUCGUCGAGAAAAAUGUGAUCGCAGGUAGAUGAUUUUCAAAUCGUCUCACACCAGGAUGCGUUUGAGUCAUAAAAUGACCCAUAGUCAGUGAAUUAUUUCAUUAUCUUACAUAGCUUCGAAUUUUUAUGUGCUCGAACGAUGAUGCGAUGUUUAGAUGAACGGACAGGAAGUGAGAUCGAAUGGGAGAAAAAUCUUCGUGCCUUUGUUUGCUUCGUAAAAAUUGGCCACAAAUUUAUUGAAUUAAGGACGUCGGAGGCGUCGGGGUUGGGUUUUUGAAAAAUUUAAUAAAAACUGUUCUUGAAAUGUUUGUGAAAAAAUUGAUUUUCUCAAUCCUUUUAUCUCCGGGAUCGACGAGAUAAAAAUAAUUGUAAAAAAUGAGGGAAAAUGAGAAAAUAGCCUGCGAAAUGGAGCGAAAUUGGUGUUCGAUGUAUUUUUAGUCGAGUUUGAUCAGCGUUGGAAAAAGCGUCGGAAAAGUUUGAACCUUUCAAAUCAUUCGAUUUGCAUCCUUGAAGUGGCAGUUUAAUAUUUUUACAUCGACGAUACUUCCGGAAAUGUCAAGUUAAAAAACUCUUCACUUGCGGAAUGGAACGUAAAACAACUUUGUAAAAUGUCAAAACCGUUGACGAAGUGUUUAUUUCAAGAAUUUUGUUCCUGCAAAUGGAACAUUGCAGAUUUAUUUUUAGUCGAUUUGUUAGUUCUUUUUCCUUUCUCUACUACAAAAUGUUUGAAUUCUCGUGUCACUUUGAAUGUAUUUGUUACGAUCGAAGAGAAAAAGAAACACUGCCAUCCAAUGAGAUGUUGAGAAUAUAAACAAAUCAAAUUUCUUCAUUGUCUGAUGUAAUGAUUUUUG